rnacentral:lncRNA from 1 species
CAUUUGGUUACACCACACGAGCUCAGUGCUUGGAACUUCCACCGCCUUAUCUUGAACAUCAUGUACUGUUCCAGCUCCCAGCCAGCCACCCAGAAAGGAAGCAUUUUGUUCUUUCAGACAGAGGCCCUGGCCAGCCCAGGGCCACAUUGUUGAGAAGCUCUGAAAAUUUUAAAUAUGUGUUCAAUUCUGGACCAUCAGGAGUCAUGGAAAGUUCAAGGAAGGUUUCCAAAAAACAUUCCGGCUUACUCGUCUUUCGCAGCGACUACAGUGACUGGGGUGCUCCCAUCAGGUACAGGGGAAGGAGCGCUGGGCCUCACAGCUAGCCACCACGACUCUUCUUCCUAAACAGAUAAAGUGUAGGUAUGUAUGUAUUUAUUUAUUUGGUCUUUUUUUGGGGGGGGGCACACAUGCGGCAUGUGGACGCUCCCAGGCUAGGGGUCAAAU